AUACCAGCACUAAUGCACCGGAUCCAAAUCAGAACUCCGCGGUUAAGCGUGCUUGGGGGCGAGAGUAGUACUAGGAUGGGUGACUUGUUUGAAGCUGAUUU
rnacentral:rRNA from 1 species